rnacentral:lncRNA from 1 species
GCCACUGCUUUCCUCCUCUACAUAUCAGGCUCAUUCACUCUGCCUGUCCCAGAUAACAGAAGCCACCAAAAACAGGGUAAAUGAGAAACCUGGGGGAAUGCCAAGGAAUGAAAUCCUGCCCUGGCUCUCUGUAAUUCCCACACGGACCUUCCCCUAAAGCUAGACUGGUCACUUUCCUCAACACUGCAUGUGAGAAUGUACUCCACCUCAUUUUUCCUGUCACUUGUCUUUGGCCAUAUAUCUUAUCUCACUUAAUCCUUAUGUCAGUGUCAUAGAUAAUUUGACUUUCCCAAGAUCUCACAGCCAGUAAAUGAAAGAUUCAGACCUUGAACCAUGUUUUUUCCUUUUAGAUUCUGUCAUCUCCCACCUUUCCUGCAGUUUUUCUCACUUCUGAUAAACUUCCUCAGUACCUCAGCACACACACAGUGGUUCCCCUCUUGGUCUCUGUUCU